rnacentral:rRNA from 1 species
GAUGAACGCUGGCGGCGUGCCUAAUACAUGCAAGUCGAGCGAACAGACGAGGAGCUUACUCCUCUGACGUUAGCGGCGGACGGGUGAGUAACACGUGGAUAACCUACCUAUAAGACUGGGAUAACUUCGGGAAACCGGAGCUAAUACCGGAUAACAUGUUGAACCGCAUGGUUCAACAGUGAAAGACGGUCUUGCUGUCACUUAUAGAUGGAUCCGCGUCGCAUUAGCUAGUUGGUAAGGUAACGGCUUACCAAGGCAACGAUGCGUAGCCGACCUGAGAGGGUGAUCGGCCACACUGGAACUGAGACACGAUCCAGACUCCUACGGGAGGCAGCAGUAGGGAAUCUUCCGCAAUGGGCGAAAGCCUGACGGAGCAACGCCGCGUGAGUGAAGAAGGUCUUCGGAUCGUAAAACUCUGUUAUUAGGGAAGAACAAAUGUGUAAGUAACUAUGCACGUCUUGACGGUACCUAAUCAGAAAGCCACGGCUAACUACGUG